UUGUGUCGUAAAAUCAUCAACGCAUACAUGUUUAUCAUUACUAUGCAUCGAAUCAGUAUCUCUAACUAUGAUAUCUUUCAAAACAACCACAGUAUAGUUAUCAUAACUAUGUAUUGUUUACUAUUUGUACUAUUGCGCAUAGUAACUUUAACUGCGCAGCGUUUUUACGAAAAAAUAAAUUCUAUCCUGCCGUUUAGCAAUUUUGACAAAGUCACGGGUAGAGUUUUCACCGUUGCCACGAGUCAUUUGCUGCUCCGAUAUAGAAAAUGUCGAAAGAUCAUCGGGUUUCGGACAUUGUUAAUGGAACCAAUGAAUAAAUCUUACUGGAUACUUUGGGAACUGUUUUUAUUGCAACAUCGGCGAGCUUCCUUAUAUGAGAUUAUUUAAUCUGGAACACUGAAACUCUUCUGCCGCAUAUGAUGUAAAGGAAAAUGUUUUGCGUUUACCACUUUCCCAGCCAUCCACACAAAAACGCUCGCCAAACUUUUCCCCGCCCGUAAUCGGAUCAAAACCUUCCGAACGAAUGCCGCUGCUGCCGCUUAAGAAAUCCAAAGGACCUCAUUGCCCCGGAGCACAACGAGUUUGUUUUUUUGCCGUAGCGUAAAUUUAAAACGAAAUCCAGCAGUUUCGUUUCCCCAGUCGUGUGCAUUAUCCGGAAAACGAAUUUUAUGAAAAGAUAUCCUUACGAUGACGUUGAAAAAUAAUAAUUCAAUACA